rnacentral:rRNA from 1 species
UACGUAGGGUGCGAGCGUUGUCCGGAAUUAUUGGGCGUAAAGAGCUCGUAGGCGGUGUGUCACGUCGGCCGUGAAAACCUGCAGCUUAACUGUGGGCGUGCGGUCGAUACGGGCAUCACUGGAGUUCGGCAGGGGAGACUGGAAUUCCUGGUGUAGCGGUGAAAUGCGCAGAUAUCAGGAGGAACACCGGUGGCGAAGGCGGGUCUCUGGACGGCAACUGACGCUGAGGUGCGAAAGCGUGGGGAGCAAACAGG